UGAAACCACUCCCCAAUGGUAUAAAAGCAGAUUCCACCUUUACAUUCUUCUUAAAAACUUCUGAAGUUUUUCGUUGCAUACUCUGAAAAAUUGAUUAAGAGAAUAACUUAGAUUCUAAUGUGAAGUUUUUCAUUGCAGCCGUGGGUCGUUUCUUCGGAAAUUAUAGUCUAGUAUCGAACUCUAUUAAAAAGACUCGAAACUAUCGGUCUAGAAGGUUUAUCCAAAAAAAUGGACAAAAUUUUUUUUGAUAGGAUUGGAACUAAUACAACGUUCUUGGUUCUCCGCCCAUUCAGAUACUUUGGCACAAUACAAGCCUUGAGACUUUUGAAUCUCUUGCUUACGAGCCACGAUUAAAAAUGUUGUCUUCAAUUUGGGAUACUCCCGUGAGGUUUGUCUAUUGUAGUUUGAAAAAUUUUAUUUACAAGCCUUUAUAUUGACAAAUAUCUCAGCGUUGAUGUAGAAGCCUUCAACAUCAGUUCACUACCAAAAAAAAAUUAGAUUGGGUUAUUUUUAUUUCUGACGAUACUAAAAUAACCGGAAAUAGUCAUAUUUUUAUUUCACCCAGAAUUUUGUGGGUAUUUUGGAGCCGAAAUUGAAGACUUUUUCCGGCAAUUUUUGGUCGCCGCAAUUUAAAUCCCCUCCUUCCCUGUUUUCCCCACUUUUCCCCUCUCUCUAUCUUGCUCUUUCUCUCUCUAAGGUUUAACAUCCUCACAAAUUUCUAUCGUCGCCACCGAUGCCGUCUUCUCAUCGACGCCGGUCAGUUUCUCAUGCUCUCUCUUUCUCUCUCUAACUCUCGCUCGGAUCGUAGCUUAACAUUUCUCGAUCUGUCACUGUCAUGGAUUCCAUUUCUGUCAAGUAUCUCACAAUAAGGUCCGAGUCCUCCAGAAAAAGUAAUGAAUUAAAGGUUUUUCGAUACCUCAUUAACGUGAAUUUGAUAGUACUUAAAUACAACGGAAUAAAAUAACUGAUAGACUAACGUGCCUAAAUAUAAUAGACACGUCUGAACCCACUAACAUACUGGCCCCACUUGGCCUACUAAAGCAAAACAACAUAAAGAAAGCUAAAGACACGGUCAAAAGCAAUAAAGUGGAGAUAAAGUACUAAAGUAGAAAGAAAGUGGAAAUCAACUGUUGCAGACUCCUAUUACGUGCAUGAACCUUCUGGAACAAUUCCCUCUAUCCCAUUUCCACCACACGAUCACCCUUGGGAUGAGACAUGGAGGGAGGUAAUGUGACAGUUUCUCUCCCUUUCUUCUUUAAUUUCCUUUCCGUUGGCUACCAAAAAUGUUUAAUAACCAGUUUAUUGUGAUUGUAAUCCAGGGAUUUUAGGGGUGAACCUAUAUUAGCUGUUUGUUUGGAAGAAUCGCUUGUAAAAAUGUUUAAUAACGAGAUUUUCUCGAUAUUUGGUUUUGCUAUAACCUCAUUUUCUGUUACUGCAUCAAUAAUUUUGUUCAUUUGUUUGCUGGAAUUAAAUGACUCCAAUAUGCUUGUAAAUAAUGUUCAAAGUGGAGGAAAGCUACAACGGCAAACUGAUGUUCUCUUUGCUAAUUAAUUGACUUUUAGGCAUUGGACUUGAGCAUACCAUUUAAAGUUGAAAAUCAUGAUUUGAAUUUGUUAAAAUAAAUAUUUUGCGAUCAAAGAAAAUGGUUUUUCUGUCUUAAAUAAGUAUAAAAACUAUUUUAUUCUUCUUUCUCAAUUUGGUUAUUGGACUGGAGCAUAUAUAUUGCCACAGCCCACAUGUAUAGGCAUUGUUCUUUGUCCAAGAAACUAAUAUAGACAGUUGGGUACUGGAAUACAUGCAAUACUGAUGUGUUGAUGCAGCUUUAAAUGGUAUAGCACUGCAUGAAGAUGCAGCUUUUAUCACUUGUAUGUGUUGAUCGAAUAGACAGUCUUUCUUUCCAUAUUAAAAUGUCUUUCUUUCCAUAUUUUAGAAGCAUUAAUUCUUGGGUAAGUGGAGAGUGUAAUGCAACACUUCAGAAUUAGAUAGUGUAAGGUUUUCAGAUGUAAAAGCCUUUCUCCUAUGGUAUUCCGUCUUUGAAAGGUCAGUAAACCUUUGUUGGUGGAGGCAUGACUUCUGCAAAAUCUAGAAAAGAAAACACUAAGAUAUGAGAUUAUCUAAUGCAGAUUUUGCUGCAAGACAUAGGUAGUCCUAAGAUUACUUGAGUUGUUGGGUAAGGAUCUCAACCCAAAUUGCUUCCCAAAAAACUUGAACUUUCAACCCCUUUUUUGUAAAUGAUUGAGGCAUGAAAGUGCUUUGGUCCAAGCAUAUACAUUGCUUCAAGUUACCUGAUUUAUGGGAAUCUCAAAUCUGAAGUACCAGAUGUUUGCUCUCAAAUUCAAUUCUUUUAAAUCCUGUGAUAGCGUGUGGACAAAAUGCACAUGAUUUUUAAUUGGCUGGUGCAUUCUCUUUCCUUCCUAUUACAGUAUGGCUAACACCAAUAUUCUUUCUUUCUUGGUUGUAGGGAAACCGAAAAGAGACCCUGCAUUCUUUAUCAUAGUCUGCAGAUUACCCUGGUUCGUAAGGAAAUCUAGUAUGAGACUGAUAGAAUAAUUGGGAAGACAAAGUAGAUUUCUCCUGUUCCUAUCGAUCUUAGUAUCUAUUCUCCAAAUGGUGUGUUACUAAUUUUAGUUUUGUUGUCAACUUUUUUGCCUUCUUAUUAUUUGGGUUAAUUUGUUAUGAUGUCCAUGGAGUGCUAUUAUCAAACUCUGUGUAUUUUGUAUGUGUUUUGUGGGAAGUUAUGUUAUUAUGUUGUAAUAAUGACCAACCAAGCAACUGGAACAUAUUAUAUUAGAUCUAGCUGCAACUAUUCUCCUUA